rnacentral:rRNA from 1 species
UACGUAGGCAGCGAGCGUUGUUCGGAGUUACUGGGCGUAAAGGGUGUGUAGGCGGUUUUCUAAGUUUGGUGUGAAAUCUCCCGGCUCAACCGGGAGGGUGCGCCGAAAACUGGGAGACUAGAGUGCGGGAUGGGAGAGUAGAAUUCCUGGUGUAGCGGUGAAAUGCGUAGAUAUCAGGAGGAAUACCGGUGGUGUAGACGGCUCUCUGGACCGCCACUGACGCUGAGACACGGAAGCGUGGGUAGCAAACAGG